rnacentral:rRNA from 1 species
GAUGAACGCUGGCGGCGUGCCUAAUACAUGCAAGUCGAGCGAACAGACGAGGAGCUUGCUCCUCUGACGUUAGCGGCGGACGGGUGAGUAACACGUGGAUAACCUACCUAUAAGACUGGGAUAACUUCGGGAAACCGGAGCUAAUACCGGAUAAUAUAUUGAACCGCAUGGUUCAAUAGCGAAAGACGGUUUUGCUGUCACUUAUAGAUGGAUCCGCGCCGCAUUAGCUAGUUGGUAAGGUAACGGCUUACCAAGGCGACGAUGCGUAGCCGACCUGAGAGGGUGAUCGGCCACACUGGAACUGAGACACGGUCCAGACUCCUACGGGAGGCAGCAGUAGGGAAUCUUCCGCAAUGGGCGAAAGCCUGACGGAGCAACGCCGCGUGAGUGAUGAAGGUCUUCUGAUCGUAAAACUCUGUUAUUAGGGAAGAACAAAUGUGUAAGUAACUAUGCACGUCUUGACGGUACCUAAUCAGAAAGCCACGGCUAACUACGUG